UACGUAGGGUGCAAGCGUUGUCCGGAUUUAUUGGGCGUAAAGAGCUCGUAGGCGGUUUUGAAAGUCGGGUGUGAAACCUCCAGGCUCAACCUGGAGACGCCACUCGAUACUUCAAUGACUUGAGUUCGGUGGGGGUAAGCGGAAUUCCUGGUGUAGCGGUGAAAUGCGCAGAUAUCAGGAGGAACACCGACGGCGAAGGCAGCUUACUGGGCCGAUACUGACGCUGAGGAGCGAAAGCGUGGGGAGCGAACAGG
rnacentral:rRNA from 1 species